ensembl:lncRNA
AGAUGGCGCCAGUGCCCCAAGCCUCCGCAGCGACAGUGGCAGAUGGCUCCUUAACCCACUGAGCCACCAGGGAAUUCCAACUACCUAUUUAGACGAAUAGUUUCUUGUGCCUAGUAGAAAUCUUGUUUAUAGAAAGUUAUCUUUAGGCGUUCCUGUCGUGGCUCGGUGGUUAACGAAUCCGACUAGGAACAUGAGGUUGUGGGUUCGAUCCCUGGCCUUGCUCAGUGGGUUAAGGAUCCGGCGUUGCCGUGAGCUGUGGUGUAGGUCACAGACGCGGCUCAGAUCUGGCAUUGCUGUGGCUGUGGUGUAGGCCUUCGGCUACAGCUCCAAUUAGACCCCUAGCCUGGGAACCUCCAUAUGCUGCAGGUGCAGCCCUAGAAAAGACAAAAAACAAACAAAAAAGACAAAAAACAAAAAAAACCACUUAUCUUUGGGAAUUCCAGUGCAUUUCAGUGGAAACAAAUUUGACUAGUAUCCAUGAGGAUGAGGGUUUGAUCCUUGGCUUUGCUCAGUGGAUCGGGGAUCCAGCACUGCUGUGAGCUGUGGUGUAGGCCAGCAGCUGCAGCUCCAGUUAGACCCCUAGCCUGGAAAUUUCCAUAUGCGUCGGGCCUAAAAAGCAAAAACAGCAAACCACCUUUCUGCUCCACAUGGUUAAACUGUGAGUUCCUAUUGUGGCUCAGUGUUAAAGAACCCAACUUGUAUCCAUGAGGUCGUGGGUUUGAUCUCUGGCCUCGCUUAGUGGGUUAAGGAUCCGGCGUUGCCCCAAGUUGCAGCGUAGGUGGCAGAUGCAGCUUGGAUCUGGUGUUGCUGUGGCUGUGGUGUAGGCUGGUGGCUGCAGCUCCAAUUCGACCCCUAGCCUGGGAACUUCCAUAUGCCACAGGUGCGGCCCUAAAAAGAAAAAGAAAAAGGUUAACGUGUAAAGGGAAAACUGUCCAACGCCAGGAAUAAUGCAGCCCCCAAGGUCUUUGGAUAGCUCAGGUGAUAAUGUUUUGAGGACCCCAGGAGUUGUGUAAAGGGAGCCCCUCCCUGGGACUCUGCACGCUCGUCUGAAGCAGGUGUUUAAUGGGCUGCGUGACUAAGGGGCUUUGGACACUGGAAAUGACAUGUCACCGUCCCUCUGGGCCUUCUGCUCUGCUUGCCAGUCCUGGGCAGACCUUCCUCCAGAACUUUCCAUGAUGUCCCCCCACCAUCUCCGGCCCAUUGUCACCCUUCAUCACACCUCUUCCUCCUCUGCAUACUUUGCAAGAGCCUGCGCGGUGCCGUCCCUGGGCUAAGAGUGGGUGGAGGAGCACCAGCCAGGACCAGGCCCAUCCCUCUUUGUGGGUCCCUGAGGCUGUGUGUCCCCCGCUUCUCCCCAGCCCUUCCCCUCCCUCCGUGCCCCAAUGGAAGUGUCCUUUGUCCUUGGAGACACCCUUCCUCCAAAGGCCUCUCCUCAAGGAGGCUGGUUCUCCCAGGUCACGGGAGGCCGUGGAGUCUGUGCUGUGCCUUCUACGGUCCUCCAUGCCAGCUCGCCGUCGCAUGUGCCACCCUCCUGUCUGUCAGCUCAGAGCUGCAGCCACCACGUCCCACAGCCGGGGCUUCAGCAGCUGAAAGGUCUCUCUCACGGUUCAGGUGGCCCAAGUUGGGGAUGGAGGUGCUGGCAGGUUGGCCGCUUCUGAGGCCGCCCUCUCCCCGGUGGGUAGUCCCUCUGUGUCACCUCCUGAACUCCUCCUCUUAUAAGGAAACCAGUCUUACUGGAUUAGAGCCCCACGGCCAUGACCUCGUCUCACCUCCUGACCUCUGUAAAGGCCCGCCCUCCAGAUGCAGGCGCAUCCUUAGGUACCGGGGCCCGGACUUCCGCCAGCAAACUGGGGGACCUCCCAAGACAUCGGUGCCGUGUGUUCACACCUGCCUCCCUGCAUCCGCCUCCCCGGAUCGCCCUUCACGCCUGGGCCAGUGACAGCUUCACCUUCCUCCUAAGCCCCUUCCCGCCCCACGUCGAGGAUCCUGGCCUGUCGUCAUUGUUUUCCGUCCCCUCACCGCGUGCUGGGGGUCUCGCGUGUCAUCUCUGCUCUGUCUCCCCAGAGGCCCCAUCGGUGCGCCCACCCUCACCCCCCCUGCGGCCCCUCCCCCGCCUGGUCGCGGAACCGGCUUUGCUUCCUCAUUCGCAGGCCCCUCCCCGGGCUCGCAGCCCCAGGCCCCUUCCGGUGUCAUCUCCCUGCCGAUGGGUUUUGUUCCUUUCGACUUCCAACUGUCAGUAAUCCCUACCAUAUGGCUUCGCCCCUCCGUGGCUCCGUGGCACUGAGGCUCAAACAGCUGAACUCCGCUCCCACCAAUUCCUGGUUCCUUCUCGCAGCCUCGGCCCCGGCCGCUCGGCUUGCCCGGCUGCUCUGCUGCUUGCCCAGAGCCGAGGCUGCUGGAUGUGAGUUCCCACGAUGUGACUUUUUCCUCCGUGUGUUUCUAAGAGGCUUGUCCCCUCCCUUCCUGUCACAGGAUAUGAAUAAUCCCUCUUUUUCCCCAAGGCUGAUCUCUCUCCCAUUUCUCCUCUGCCAUAGACAGACAGACAGACAGACAGACAGACAGACAGACACACACACACACACACACACACACACACACACACACACACAUCUUCCUUCAAAAGCUAUGUUCUGGAGUUCCCGUUGUGGAGCAGCGGAAACAAAUCCGACUAGGAACCAUUAGGUUGCGUGUUCGAUCCCUGGCCUCGCUCAGUGGGUCGAGGAUCCGGCGUUGCCAUGAGCUGUGGUGUAGGUCACAGACGUGGCUCGGAUCUGGCGUGGCUGUGGCUCUGGUGUAGGCUGGCAGCUGUAGCUCUGAUUGGACCCCUAGCCUGGGAACCUCCCUAUGCCAUGGGUGCAGCCCUAAAAAA